AUUGAACGCUGGCGGCAGGCCUAACACAUGCAAGUCGAGCGAGCGGCGGACGGGUGAGUAAUGUAUGGGGACUGCCCGAUAGAGGGGGCUAAAUACUGGAAACGGUAGCUAAUACCGCAUAAGAUAGGAUCACCCAUAUGGGAUUAGCUAGUAGGUGAGGUAAUGGCUCACCUAGGCGACGCUCCCUAGCUGGUCUGAGAGGAUGAUCAGCCACACUGGGACUGAGCCACGGCCCAGACUCCUACGGAGGCAGCAUUGGUGAAUAUUUCGCAAUGGGCGCAAGCCUGAUGCAGCCAUCCCGCGUGUAUGAUGAAGGCCUUCGGUUUGUAAAGUUCUUUUGGCAGAGAAGCGGUAUCUGCUGAAUAAGCACCGGCUAACUACGUGCCAGCAGCCGCGGUAAUUC
rnacentral:rRNA from 1 species